UACGUAGGGUGCAGGCGUUAUUCGGAAUUACUGGGCGUAAAGCGUGCGCAGGCGGUUUUUUAAGUCAGAUGUGAAAGCCCCGGGCUUAACCUGGGAACUGCGUUUGAAACUGGGAGACUUGAGUGUGGCAGAGGGGGGUGGAAUUCCACGUGUAGCAGUGAAAUGCGUAGAUAUGUGGAGGAACACCGAUGGCGAAGGCAGCCCCCUGGGUUAACACUGACGCUCAUGCACGAAAGCGUGGGGAGCAAACAGG
rnacentral:rRNA from 1 species